rnacentral:rRNA from 1 species
UCUAUAGACAACUUUCAGCAACGGAUCUCUUGGCUCUCGCAUCGAUGAAGAACGCAGCGAAAUGCGAUAAGUAAUGUGAAUUGCAGAAUUCAGUGAAUCAUCGAAUCUUUGAACGCACCUUGCGCUCCUUGGUAUUCCGAGGAGCAUGCCUGUUUG